UUUUGGAAAUAAUGUAUGAGAAAUACUUAGGCAUCUGUUUCCAUUUUUAGACUGGGCCGGCUUAGAUGAAGAUGAAGAUGCACAUGUCUGGGAGGAUAAUUGGGAUGAUGACAAUGUAGAAGAUGACUUCUCCAAUCAGCUACGUGCUGAGCUAGAGAAGCAUGGCUACAAGAUGGAAACUUCAUAGCAUCCAGAAAUGUUGCAAGACCUUAAACAUGGACUGUGUACUAAAUUCUAGGACAGAAACGAGCAUGGGCUACUUUGAAGAAUAAAUUUAUUUCAUUAUCUGCUCGGAUUUAUUUUUAUUUAUAACAAAAUAAAGAAAUGUUUUGAUCUAA